rnacentral:rRNA from 1 species
UACGUAGGGUGCAGGCGUUAAUCGGAAUUACUGGGCGUAAAGCAUGCGCAGGCGGUCUUUUAAGUCAGAUGUGAAAUCCCCGGGCUUAACCUGGGAACUGCGUUUGAAACUGGAAGGCUUGAGUGUGGCAGAGGGGGGAGGAAUUCCACGUGUAGCAGUGAAAUGCGUAGAGAUGUGGAGGAACACCGAUGGCGAAGGCAGCCCCCUGGGCUAACACUGACGCUCAUGCACGAAAGCGUGGGGAGCAAACAGG